AAUUGUUUUAAAACACAGUCAUCAGUAUGUGUUUCUUACUGCUGCUUAAAAUUAUUAGCUGUUUCUAGCAGAAGAUCACUUUUACUUACUGAAUACUUUUUUUUUUUUAAUUGAAACAUUUUUUUUGGUAAACUACAGCAACAAUAAUAUUUUUGAAGACCAUCUCCAGAUUCUAGAGGAAGGCUCUUAACCAUCCAGUUCGGACAGAAAAGAAACUUGGAGGAGCUCCCUGCAUUUUUGAAAGAUGUGACAAACUUCUUUAUGUUUUGAGGUAUGAAAGAACUUGGGGAUGGACAAAGUUACCUCGCCUCAGUAUGAAGUCUGCAUUCAAACAUCAUACUACUUUUCUGUGCUUUGCUCUCUCACAAUGCCCAUGUGAAUAACCAAACCCACAAAAAUCCCCAAAGAUCUUCACCUAUUUUUCGUGAGAAAUGUUGUCACCUUAAUAUGCUUCCUCAUGCUAAAAGAGCACAAGUAGGCUGACCUCAGCACACAAUAGAAAUGGUUGGAGUGGUGAAAGGACCCACCUAUGGUCGUGUGCUUAAUUCACCUGGACGGUGACGUUGUUGCUGCUGUUGGCCAACUGUCCAUUGCAGACUGACAUCUGCCGCUGGCUUUGUCAGAAACAACGUGUUACAAAUAGUAGCAUUGAAGGCUUUUGUCAAGGACCAAUUUCUC